rnacentral:rRNA from 1 species
AUGCCGGAUGCUCCAGUUGAUCGCAUGGUCUUCUGGGAAAGCUUUCGCGGUAUGGGAUGGGGUCGCGUCCUAUCAGCUUGACGGCGGGGUAACGGCCCACCGUGGCUUCGACGGGUAGCCGGCCUGAGAGGGCGACCGGCCACAUUGGGACUGAGAUACGGCCCAGACUCCUACGGGAGGCAGCAGUGGGGAAUAUUGCACAAUGGGCGCAAGCCUGAUGCAGCGACGCCGCGUGAGGGAUGGAGGCCUUCGGGUUGUAAACCUCUUUUAUCGGGGAGCAAGCGAGAGUGAGUUUACCCGUUGAAUAAGCACCGGCUAACUACGUGCCAGCAGCCGCGGUAAUACGUAGGGUGCAAGCGUUAUCCGGAAUUAUUGGGCGUAAAGGGCUCGUAGGCGGUUCGUCGCGUCCGGUGUGAAAGUCCAUCGCUUAACGGUGGAUCCGCGCCGGGUACGGGCGGGCUUGAGUGCGGUAGGGGAGACUGGAAUUCCCGGUGUAACGGUGGAAUGUGUA